rnacentral:rRNA from 1 species
GAUGCUGACGAGUGGCGAACGGGUGAGUAAUACAUCGGAACGUGCCCGAGAGUGGGGGAUAACGAAGCGAAAGCUUUGCUAAUACCGCAUACGAUCUCAGGAUGAAAGCAGGGGACCGCAAGGCCUUGCGCUCACGGAGCGGCCGAUGGCAGAUUAGGUAGUUGGUGGGAUAAAAGCUUACCAAGCCGACGAUCUGUAGCUGGUCUGAGAGGACGACCAGCCACACUGGGACUGAGACACGGCCCAGACUCCUACGGGAGGCAGCAGUGGGGAAUUUUGGACAAUGGGCGCAAGCCUGAUCCAGCCAUGCCGCGUGCAGGAUGAAGGCCUUCGGGUUGUAAACUGCUUUUGUACGGAACGAAAAGACUCUGGUUAAUACCUGGGGUCCAGACGGUACGGUAAGAAU